GAGCCACCGCGACGGGCCGCCAUCCCUACCGUUUACAGACAGCGUCCAUCUCACUGGUGGGUCCCUAUGCAGUCCAACUUGCUCCACGUCUGAAUGUCAGUCCUAGAUACAAAGCAGAGAAGUUUAAAGUAGGGAAUGGCUUCUUUUUUCCUUUUACAAAACAUAAUGAUGUUUCACAGAUGAAAUGCCUAAAGGAGAGAGAGGAGAGACAGAUGAGGAGACAAUUAUCUCAAAGGAGGAAAAUGGUCAAAAGGCAAAGAAUAAUGUGUGUGAACUCUCCGGUGCAUGUAGCCUAAGGAGAUUUGCUAGUUUGAGUCCUGGGAGAUGAGAUGGGGAAGAUGGGCCCAAGCUGCAACAUGAAGGUCCAUGAUGAACAGUUGGCAUCUCCUACAGUGCCUGCCACUUGGUAAUGUUCAAUGCAGCCAAGGGAGCUAAGGUAAUGAACAAAACAGAGAAGUUCCUACCCUCCCUGAUGUUCAUUCUAGCAAAUGGAGACAGAUGAUAGAAACUGCACAUCAUUGAGCAAGAGGGACACCAUGGAUAAUGGAAAGAUCUACGGCAAGGCUGGCUGUCUGCCCUGUCUAAGGAGGACGUACUGGACCAUCCUGCUCUGCACAUCCAGAUGUGUCCAUGAAUACAUCCAUAAAACGAUGGCCUGUGGAAUCCUAUAGGAAAAUGAUCCAGAGCCUGGGCGGUCAGAAGGAACAAACACUUGAUUUACAAAAUAAAUCUUCUAUGUUUAUGUUUUAAAGACACACAGAGGAAAAA
ensembl:lncRNA LINC01580 long intergenic non-protein coding RNA 1580